GACGUAGGGGGCCAGCGUUGCUCGGAAUUACUGGGCGUAAAGGAUUCGUAGGCGGUGCGGCAAGUCGGAAGUGAAAUCUCCAGGCUUAACUUGGAGGCUGCUCCCGAAACUGCCGUGCUAGAGUGCGGGAGAGGCGAGUGGAAUUGCAGGUGUAGCGGUGAAAUGCGUAGAUAUCUGCAGGAACACCCGUGGCGAAGGCGGCUCGCUGGACCGCAACUGACGCUGAGGAACGAAAGCUAGGGGAGCAAACAGG
rnacentral:rRNA from 1 species